rnacentral:lncRNA from 1 species
UUCUUUGAAGCAGUUUAAAAGCAGUUCAGUGAGAGUGCAACACAACUCUGAACUAUGUUAUAGAAGAUUCUGUCAGCAGCUGCCCAGCACAGCUCAGCAGAACUUCAGAAGGAUCCUGGGGGUCACAGGGCCAUUAACAGUCAUGGCAGGAAGGAGGAGCUCACAUGCAUGAGAUUUCAUGAGCUUCCAUGAUCUCAGAGUCAGAUGGCCCCAAAGGGCUGAAGUCUGGAUUUAGCAUUCCUUGACUGUUUGAGAAAGCUUACAGUUAGGGUAUUUUGGCCUAAUUUUCUUCCACUGGCUCCAUUUAUUACCUCUUUGAUCUUCAAUAUCGUUAGUUUCUCUUUGCUAAUGACUCCUUCCCCUCUCUUGCAAACACACCCAUAUUUAUAUUGUAUCAUAGUAUCUCAGAAACAGUAUAUCUACUAGACCUUGGAGAAAGUUAACCUUGAUUACAUUACCAACUCUAGUUCUCUCAUCAUCUCAUUAUCAAACUUCUCAAAUGUGAUCCACAUUGACUAGUGGUUUUGUUUUGUUUUGUUUUGUUUUUUGCUUUUUAGGGCCACAUUCAUGGCAUAUGGAGUUCCCAUUGUGGCUCAGUGGUAACAAACACAACUAAUAUCCAUGGGGGCACAGGUUCGAUCCCUGGCUUCAGUCAGUGGGUUAAAGAUCCGGUGUUGCCGUGAUCUGUGGUGCAGGUUGCAGACACAGUUCAGAUCCCGCAUUGCUGUGGCUGUAGAGUAAGCCAACAGCUAAGGCUCUAUCUAAACCCCCAGGCUGGGAACCUCCAUAUGCCAUGGGUAUUGCCCUAAAAAGACAGGAAAGAAAGAAAGAAAGAAAGAAAGAAAGAAAGAAAGAAAGAAAGAAAGAAAGAAAGAGAGAAAGAGAGAGAGAAAGAAAGAAAGGAAAGAAAGGAAGGAAGGAAGGAAGGGAAGGGAAGGAAGAAAGAAGAAAGAAAAUGACCCUUUCCCAAAAUGUAAACAAAUUACCUCAAAAAAAAAAAACUAAUUAAAAAAAAAUCCCAACACUUGGUAGUCAAAGCCUCCCAAAUCCACCUGACCUGACCCUCCAAUGCUGUUUCUCCACUAAUUCAUUCUACAAGUCUUUUGUUUCAAAUCAAAUAUAUUUAAUACACUACAAAUAUAAUUAUUAUCUUUUCACUUCUAGACCUUACUUUAUCUUCUUAUAUUACUUGAAUUCUAUGUAAGUCCCUGGACUCUACCUUAGAGGUUCAAAUAUGAAUAAAUAAUUAUAGAUGAUCAUCAAAUUUCUUGGAAUCUAGACACAUAGCUAGAUAACUUUAACAACAUAGUAAACAUUUGAUGCUUUAAGAACACAAAAUAGACCCCCAAAUCAGCCUGGAAAUCAAGAGAGACUUCCUGGAGGAGGGGGUAAUGUGCUAAAUCUGAAAAAUUGAUAAGAAUUACAAAGGUCAAAUGUGUGCAUGUAUUUUGGGUGGAAAGAAGAAAGGCAGAGUUGAAAUUCUAGGAAGAGGGAAUAACAGGAGAAAAGCCAAAGCACAAUGAAUCAAAAUAGCAGUUUGGUUGCUGGGACUUACAGUGUAAGGCAGGGAAUGGUGUGGGAAAUGGGACUGCAGAUGUGUGAGCAAUAAUUUAGGAAUGUCCUUUAUCUUUCCUGUCUUCUUUCUUCUUAGAUAAACCAGGUACUAUUAAAUGAUACUGCAAGUUAAGUCAAAGAUCAUGGUAGGGAAUAUAUAUUUGGGAAUAGUUAAUAGAGCGGUAAUGGAGGGAAAAAUUAACAUUUAGCUAGAUUUGAGCUCAGAGGAUCAAGGUUCAAUUUCUUCCCAGCCUUGUAUUGCUUAUGUAAACUGGAACAAGCCUUUAGCAAGUCUGAAAUGUUCCAUCUGCAAAAUGGGGAUAACCCUUAUCUUGGCUACUUCAUACAAACAGCUUUAUUUUUAAUUGUGGCAAAAAGCAUGUAAUAUAAAUGUACCAUUUUAACCACUUUUAAGCAUACACAUUUUUUGAAGAAUUAAAUGGAAACAGUAUGGAGAUUCCUCAGAAAACCAAAAAUAGAAUUACCGUUUGAUCCAGCAAUCCCACUCCUGGGCAUCUAUCUGUAGAAAACCACGACUCAAAAAGAUAUAUGUAUCCCACUGUUCACUGCAGCACUAUAUAUACAACAGCCAAGACGUGGAAACAACCUAAAUGUCCAUUGGCAGAGGAGUGAAUCAAGAAGAUGUAUACAUGAUGGAAUAUUACUCAGCCGUUAAAAGGAAAGAAAUAACGGCAUUUGCAGCAACGUGGAUGGACCUAGAAAUUAUCAUGCUAAGUGAGGUUAGUCAGACAGUGAGACACCAACAUCAUAUGCUAUCACUCAUAUGUGGAAUCGAGAAAAAGGACACAAUGAACUUCUUUGCAGAACAGAUACUGACUCACAGACUGAAAAACUUGUGGUUUCCAAAUAAGACAGGUUGGAGGUGGGGGGGAUGCGCUGGGGGUUUGGGAUGGAAAAGCUAUAAAAUUGUGUUGUGAUGAUUGCUGUACAACUAUAAAUGUAAACGAAUUCACUGAGUAGUGAAAAAAAAGAAUUAAAUGAGAUGGUAUGUAUUUAAAGUUUUAAAAAACAUUUUUUAUUAUUAUUAUCUCAGCAGAAGAAAUAGAAAAUAUAGUGAAUAAUGUGUAAAAGGCUAAGAAGAAAGUAAUGUUUACUGAUUGUGUAUUCUAAAGAAGCAUGAUCCUGAGUGUUUAUCACUCAUAGCAAUUCUGAGUCCCAGUGCCCCUAUGUAUAUUCCCCUAUGAGAGAUAGUUAUUUCACAAUAGGAAAGCUUUUGAGACUCGACCCUGAAGGAUGUCUAAUCACCAUGUAACGCUUUUCCCCUAAUUUGUCCCUUAGAGGGUAAACAAAGACACAUAUACCCCCACAUUUUUUAGAGCCUGCACUAUCUAAAGAGAAACUCCCAGGAAAGGUAAUCUUUCCAUUCUUGAUAUUCCCUAAAGAAUGUUCAGAAACAUCUAUAUCCUCAAUGACAAACCAGCAUAGGGUGCAGCUUAUUGCAGAGAUUCUGAAGAGCAUUCUUGUGGUCUUAGACAAGGUACGUGCUAAAGACAUGAUCCAGCUGAGGUUGCUAACCUGCCUUUUACUCAGAUUAUGCCUGCCCAAUAAUUUCCUUAUAUCCUUAGCUCUUCCUUCCAAUCCCAAAUAGUCCCAGGCUUUCAGGGUAAAUUUUUCUCAUUGUAUGGAGUAAAACUUCAUAUUUUUAUAACUUUAUUACAUGAGUGAAGAAAUUAGAAUAGUGAGACAUGAAAUCUAGAAAAGAUAAUUAGGAAGAAUAUAGUUCAGCUAAUAGAUGAAGAUACUGAUAAUAUCUAAGGUCUUUCUAAUGAUAAAAUGUUGUUGAAGUCCAUAGAAUCAUGGAUUCCUGGAGACUUAGAAAUUGACUGCUUUUUUCCACGGCGAAAAUCUAAAUGAAGCCCUUUUUUUUUUUUUAACUUUGCAUGGAAUAUUUGUAGGCUGAACUCCUUGAGCACCACUGAUUAUCUGUCAUUCUGGGAUUUUUAAAAAAUGUGCUUUAUGUGUGUCAGGGGCAAGAAUGUUUUGUUCAACAUUAUAUGGCCCUUGAACCUGGGGCAAUUAUGGGCACAUAACAGAGGACUGAUCAAUGUAUGAGUGUUAAUUGAACAAAUGUAUAUAUGGUGAACACAAUGCCAACUUACUAGUGGUAAAAAGCCUCAUUAGAGCAUCAAAGUAGUCACUCUAUCUGCUUUUAUGAGCUACUUAGCUCUGAACUUCCCUUUUUCAUAACCCAGUCAUUUCCUGUUUUAUCCACCUAUGCCCUCUGUAAUGACUAGUCUGGUACUUUAGGCUAAGAAAAGAUAGUACCAUAACACAGACAAGACAGAGAAGUGGCCACUUCAAUCAGAGAACACUCAGAUCUCUCACAUCUUUCCCCAGGCAGGCUCUGCCCUUCUGCUACACUAAGGUACUUGCUCUCUUCCAAAGCCUGUCUUUCAUAUCUUUCUUCACCAAGGCUUGACACAGAAAGCAAAAGGCAUCUUCUGUAAGUUAGUUUUCCUAGCCUGCAGUGCAUUUAUUUUAAUCUGUUUUUGACUUGAAAAAAAAAUCAUUAGCUCUCUCAUCUCACAAUCAGGAUAGUCUUAAGUAUAUAAUGUUACUCAGAGUAGGACACAGAAUGACUUAUGACUCCUGGUCUAAAUUUCCCAUGGUGGUAUGAAUAAUAAUAGUGGCUUCUAAGAACUACAGACCAGGCUUCCAGUUAUUGCUCUGUAAUCUUAGCUAUGUCAAUUUGGGUAAGGUAUUUUUUUCCCCUCUGAUUCUUAAUUUCACUACCCGCAAAAUAAUAAUAAUACUCUCUCUACCAUAGGUAGAAAUAAAUGAGAUAAACUAUGUAAUGUGCCUAAGGCAAUGACCAUCACAUGGGCGGGCAUGGGAAUUCCACAGACACCAGGUGGCGGGGCCAGGGUUGCACCAGAUGGAGUGGGGGCUGCACUAGUGAGAUUCCUGGUUCCCCACCACCUUCUCCCCACUCCUCCCAUCUCAUGCUCCUGGGAGGGAGGGAUGGAGAGGGAGGGAAGGAGGAGACUGGCAAAAAGAAACCAACCAAGCUCUCAGAGAACAACGUGGGAGUCAGUUUAGAUUCCAUCAUUGCCAAUGGAGAAGUUCUGUCAAAAGAAUACAUGCGAAGUCCAGAAGCAAGAAAGGAAGGAAACAGUUGACCUAUGCAAAUGGAAAUAAAAACCUAUCUUUGCAUAAACCUAGACAAAGUUGGAAGAAAACAGAUGACUGCGUGGGACAAAUGCUUUUGCAGUCAGGUUAUGAGAACAAGGAUUUCGGCAUGACUGACUGACCACAGUCACAGGAGAAACAAGUGCCAAGGGGUGGGGGAGGGAGUUAGGGCAGUACCUUUGUACAGUGCAACACUAUGAAAGUGUGUAUGUGUGCGUGUGUGUUUGAAAUACAGCAAAAAUGGAUGGAAUUCUUUAAUAAUACUAUUUAAUGUAUCCUUUAUGAGUAUCCCUGAGGACAUUUUCGUCUAUUUAAAGGAGAUAAUGCUGAUAUUCAAAUAUUUAAAAUGCAAGAUAAGAUGUGCUAAGCAUCAUGAAAAAGGAAAACAUGAAGCACUCUUAGGGGUUGUAGGAGAGGGUGUUUAGUUCUGGGAUGAGGAUCAAUGAGAUGUCCAUGAUAAUGGGAAUAUUUAAUGAACACUGGAUACUUGGAUUCCAAUAGAAAGAGAUAAAGAAGAUAGAAGGAAAGAAUGACAGAAAAAUAGGAUAUGAAAAAUUGGCAGAGCUGAUAAGAAUGUAGAAAAAUAAUGGCUGAAAAAAUUGGGCUGGAACCAGAUCAGAGAAUAAAAUAAAUAUCAGGCUAAGAUCUUUGGGCUUUAUUCUUGAAUGAUUUUGAAAAGACAAAAGAGAGUAAAAGCCAUUUUUUAGAAAUGUUGAUCUGACAAAAGUAAGAAGAUGAGUAAAAGAGACGUUAAAAUAGUCAAGGUAAGAGGCAAUGCAUACUGCUAUCACUAACUUUAACUGCAAACAUUUGAUUUGCCCUUUCUCCCUAACAACUAGAUGCUGGCCUGAUUGCUAUUGUAGUUGAUUUUUAUAACACUUUCUUCCAAAGAUAGCUAUAGUUAUAAUAGAAGUGAUUUUUUAAAAUUCAGGUUUAUUUCCUUCCUUUGGCUCGUAGAUGUGCCCUUCAUAGGAGGGAUGGGAUGUGCAGGGCUGAACUAACCUGUUUGUCCAAAAUUCAACGACCACUAAUACUAAUCAGGGGCAAGAUGGUCCCUUGGUCUGGGCAACAAUCAAUAUCUGCUACUGAAGGAGGAAAAGGU